UUCCGGUUGAUCCUGCCGGACCCCACUGCUAUCGGGAUAGGACUAAGACAUGCUAGUUGAGCGCUUCCAGCCAACACGGGAGCGCAGCGCACAGCUCAGUAACACGUGGCUAAUCUGCCCUUGGGACCGGAACACCCCCGGGAAACUGGGGCUAAUUCUCGAUAGGUGAAGAACUCUGGAAUGAGUCUUUGCCAAAAAGACGUUUGCGUUAUGCUCGUAGGCGUCGCCCAAGGAUGAGGCCGCGACCGAUCAGGUUGUUGGUGAGGUAAUGGCUCACCAAGCCUUUUACCGGUGCGGGCCGUGAGAGCGGGAGCCCGGAGAUGGGCACUGAGACAAGGGCCCAGGCCCUACGGGGCGCAGCAGUCGCGAAAACUUUGCAAUACACGAAAGUGUGACAGGGCUAUCCCGAGUGCCAUCCGCUGAGGAAGGCUUUUACCCAGUCUAGAACGCUGGGGGAAUAAGGAGAGGGCAAGUCUGGUGUCAGCCGCCGCGGUAAUACCAGCUCUCCGAGUGGUGUGGAUGUUUAUUGGGCCUAAAGCAUCCGUAGCUGGCUAAGUUAGUCCCUUGUUAAAUCCACCGAAUUAAUCGUUGGAUUGCGGGGGAUACUGCUUGGCUAGGGGACGAGAGAGGCAGACGGUAUUUCCGGGGUAGGGGUGAAAUCCUAUAAUCCCGGGAAGACCACCAGUGGCGAAGGCUGUCUGCUAGAACGCGCCCGACGGUGAGGGAUGAAAGCUGGGGGAGCGAACCGGAUUAGAUACCCGGGUAGUCCCAGCUGUAAACGAUGCAGGCUAGGUGUUUGGACGGCCACGUGCCGUUCUAGUGCCGCAGGGAAGCUGUUAAGCCUGCCGCCUGGGGAGUACGAUCGCAAGAUUGAAACUUAAAGGAAUUGGCGGGGGAGCACCACAAGGGGUGAAGCUUGCGGUUUAAUUGGAUUCAACGCCGGG
rnacentral:rRNA from 1 species